rnacentral:rRNA from 1 species
GGUUAAGUGACUAAGCGUACACGGUGGAUGCCUUGGCAGUCAGAGGCGAUGAAGGACGUAUUAACUUGCGAUAAGCCCAGAUUAGGUAGUAAAAACCAUUUGAGUCUGGGAUUUCCGAAUGGGGAAACCCAAUACCAUAAGGUAUUACUGUUGAGUGAAUACAUAGCUCAACAGGGCGAACCGGGGGAACUGAAACAUCUAAGUACCCCGAGGAAAAGAAAUCAACCGAGAUUCCGAAAGUAGCGGCGAGCGAAAUUGGACUAGCCCUUAAGCUUUACACGCGUUAGACGAACAGCCUGGAAAGGCCGACGAUACAGGGUGAUAGUCCCGUAGUUGACGACGUGUGUUCAGUGAAAUCGAGUAGGGCGGGACACGUGAUAUCCUGUCUGAAUAUGGGGGGACCAUCCUCCAAGGCUAAAUACUACUGACUGACCGAUAGUGAACCAGUACCGUGAGGGAAAGGCGAAAAGAACCCCUGUGAGGGGAGUGAAAUAGAACCUGAAACCGUGUACGUACAAGCAGUAGGAGCAGG